rnacentral:rRNA from 1 species
UUGACCUCAAAUCAGGUAGGACUACCCGCUGAACUUAAGCAUAUCAAUAAGCGGAGGAAAAGAAACUAACAAGGAUUCCCCUAGUAACUGCGAGUGAAGCGGGAAAAGCUCAAAUUUAAAAUCUGGCGGUUCUUGUAGCCGUCCGAGUUGUAAUUUAGAGAAGUGUUAUCCGCGCUGGACCGUGUACAAGUCUCCUGGAAUGGAGCGUCAUAGAGGGUGAGAAUCCCGUCUUUGACACGGACUGCCAGGGCAUUGUGAUGCGCUCUCAAAGAGUCGAGUUGUUUGGGAAUGCAGCUCAAAAUGGGUGGUAAAUUCCAUCUAAAGCUAAAUAUUGGAGAGAGACCGAUAGCGAACAAGUACCGUGAGGGAAAGAUGAAAAGAACUUUGGAAAGAGAGUUAAACAGUACGUGANAUUGCUGAAAGGGNAACGCUUGAAGUCAGUCGCGUCGCUCAGGACUCAGCCUUGCUUUGCUUGGUGUACUUCCUGUUCGACGGGUCAGCAUCAAUUUUGGUCGGUGGAUAAAGGCUUAGAGAAUGUGGCAUCUUCGGGUGUGUUAUAGCUUUGGGUCGCAUNCAUCGGCUGGGAUUGAGGAACUCAGCACGCCGCAAG